UACGGGGGGAGCAAGCGUUGUUCGGAUUUACUGGGCGUAAAGGGCGCGUAGGCGGUCAGCACAAGUCAGUUGUGAAAUCUCCGGGCUUAACCCGGAAAGGUCAACUGAUACUGUGCGACUAGAGUGCGGAAGGGGCAACUGGAAUUCUCGGUGUAGCGGUGAAAUGCGUAGAUAUUGGGAAGAACACCGGUGGCGAAGGCGGCGACCUGGUCCAUUACUGACGCUGAGGCGCGAAAGCGUGGGGAGCAAACAGG
rnacentral:rRNA from 1 species